UCUCUCCCUUCGCCCGGCUGAGCCGGCCCCACGUGCGGCCAGGAGGAAGGAGGCGGCGCUUCAGGAGGGCGGGCAGAGAGACACGCACAGAGAGGAGAGAAAGAGGCAGCUAGACGCCCAGAAACUGCAAGUCACUUUUGGUGUGAGAGAAUUGGCCAUCUGCAAGUACAUUGCCCAGGGGACACCCGGUUGUUUGAUGUUUUACCAUCCUCAUGGGAGGCUUCUCUCAUAUCUCUGCAUGGAGCUGGAGUUGACAGAGGGAGCUCAUCCGCAGUCUCCUCGGGUGGAUUCAAACCGGCAACCUUCAGAUCUUCUGAUGUCUGUGGUGGAGUAUCCAUUGGCCUAUAGAGCCCAGUUUAGGUGGUUCGGUUCACCUUGGAGGAGGUGGGUUGGCUGUCACAAACUAUGUUGAAUUGGUUGAGACUUGAUGAGAUAUUAAUUGAAAAACUAUAGCAAAAUGUGCUGCAGGAUGUUCCAAUUUUUUUACAGUUUAAUAAACCUUUUCCAUGUUUUUAUGAUAGAACCAAUUAGGAAAUGACAUUUAUAACCCAGGAUCAAAAAAUCAUGUUGCAUAAUGUAACUAAUCGGAAGGAAAGAGGAUAGCAAAGGCUUUGUGGUAGUAAACAUGGUUCAGAUGCAAGUGGUCCCAUUUCCAUUUGUAAUUUUGUCAGUUGAAAUUAUGGGGCAGAAAUUGUCAUUAGUAUGGAGGUGGAUGACUGGUACUACCCCAGCCAGCAUUUCUGAUCAUUGGUCAUGCUUGUUGGGACUGAUUGAAAUACAAAAUAUCUGCAGUUAACCAGGGUGAACAUCUAAUGCAGUACAUGAGCUCAUCAG